GACAAACGCUGGCGGCGUGCCUAACACAUGCAAGUCGAACGGAGAUCAUGUUUUCGGAUAUGGUUUUAGUGGCGGACGGGUGAGUAACGCGUGAGCAACCUGCCUUUCAGUGGGGACAACAGUUGGAAACGACUGCUAAUACCGCAUAAUGUAUACUGGCGGCAUCGCUGGGAUACCAAAGAUUUAUCGCCGAAAGAUGGACUCGCGUCUGAUUAGCUAGUUGGUGAGGUAACGGCUCACCAAGGCUGCGAUCAGUAGCCGGACUGAGAGGUUGAACGGCCACAUUGGGACUGAGAUACGGCCCAGACUCCUACGGGUGGCUG
rnacentral:rRNA from 1 species